GACGGAGGGUGCAAGCGUUGUUCGGAUUGACUGGGCGUAAAGGGCGUGUAGGCGGUCGGCCAAGUCUGCUGUGAAAGCCCGGGGCUCAGCUCCGGAAGUGCGGCGGAAACUAGUCGGCUGGAGCGCGGUAGAGGAGGGUGGAAUUCCUGGUGUAGCGGUGAAAUGCGUAGAUAUCAGGAGGAACACCGGCGGCGAAGGCGGCCCUCUGGACCGUUGCUGACGCUGAGACGCGAAAGCGUGGGGAG
rnacentral:rRNA from 1 species